GAUGAACGCUGGCGGCGUGCCUAAUACAUGCAAGUCGAGCGGAGCGGGGACGGGUGAGUAACACGUGGAUAACAUCCUAUAAGAACGGGAUAACCUCGGGAAACCGGAGCUAAAUCGGAAAAUUCUAGAAGGAGCCGGGCUGCAUUGGCUAGUUGGUCAGGUUACGGCUUACCAAGGCGACGAUGCAUAGCCGACCUUGGAGGGGGAUCGGCCACACUGGAACUGAGACACGGUCCAGACUCCUACGGGAGGGAGCAGUGGGGAAUCUUCCGCAAGGGGCGAAAGCCUGACGGAGCGACGCCGCGUGAGUGAGGAAGGUCUUCGGAUCGUAAAAUUCUUUUAGUCGGGAAGCGUUACCUAAUCAGAAAGCCACGGCUAACUUCGUGCCAGCAGCCGCGGUAAUUC
rnacentral:rRNA from 1 species